ACGUCGUCUUAGGAUUGUUGUUACAAAGCAUAUUUUGUGAGAGGGAGAGAAGUUGUCGCCGAUACCAAUAGAAGAAGAAGAAGAAGAAGAAGAAGGCCAUCAUUGACGGACUAAACAAAAAAAUGUCGGUGAAACCCACAGUCGCUUUGAGAGGUAUCCUAGUAGGUGGAGUGGCCAUAUUUGCCAAAGUUGCGGCUGCAAUGAAAGCCGCUGGAGGUGCAAAGCUUGGUGCAGCUGCUACAGCUAUGACCGUUGCUGCUACCGCUGCUGUGGGUGGAGGAUCUAAGCAAGAUCAAAAGCAAGAUGCUUCCAAGGUACCACCACCUUCUAAAUAAGUAAGUACAACUAUUUUAUCCAUGUAAUUCUUCCUUACCAUAUCAAUAAAGCAGAGAAAAAACUCCAUAAAAAGACCUUUCUAGUUUUUUCCAAAGGGGUUCUAUGGAGUUAUAAUGUAAUGUUUGUUACUUGAAAGUGUUAAAACUGUAGUUUUCUUCUGUAAUAAUAACUUCUUUAUUCAUACAAUUUAAAAGGAGAUGGGUUGCGAUUGAGAGUUUUA